GGUCUUGUGGUCUAGUGGUAUGAUUGUAAGAAAACCCUAUGAAGCUACCCCUUGAGAUCCUUCACUAACAGAACAUCAGCUCGCUUAGGGUUUACCCGAGCAUUGCUUGCGAGAGGCCCCGCGUUCGAGUCGCGGCAAGACCC